rnacentral:snoRNA from 1 species
CACAGCGCUGACAAAUUGACAGGCUUGACUUCCAACACCUGGGCAGUUUUUCCUCGGAACGCUGUGAGAUGAAUCCUAGCGUCGGCUAAGCUAUGUUAUGCGAAUGUAGAUCUGUUCCAAUUCAGUGUAACACGCAGCCUCGUUACAAUA